GUGUGGUGGGUGGGGAACAUGAAAUCUGAAUUCAAAGUGUAUUCAGGAAUUGUGACAGACACGGGAUUUGUUUGUGAGGAGGAACAUCAUGGCCUCGCAGCUUCUGAACAAGAUGUUUUCGCGCAGAGUGGUUUGUGUAACGUUUGCCCUCUGGAAGAUUUGCUGCCACCGCCAUGGUUUUGAGCAUCUUUCCUAAUUUGACCUCUCCAAUGCGUUGUCUCAAAAACCACUGACUGGAGCAACCCUCUCUGGUGCGCGGCGCUAGGGAACAUGGAGUGUGUGGACCAAGGACAGCAGUUUCCCACAUCUGGUCUAUGUCCUCAUCAGUUAGAGGUUCAGCUUCGCUUGGGCGGUUGCCUUGGCCCUUUAUAGAGCAAUGUUCAACUGUUCGAUAAUGU